rnacentral:rRNA from 1 species
AUUGAACGCUGGCGGCAUGCCUUACACAUGCAAGUCGAACGGUAACAGGUCUUCGGAUGCUGACGAGUGGCGAACGGGUGAGUAAUACAUCGGAACGUGCCCGAUCGUGGGGGAUAACGAGGCGAAAGCUUUGCUAAUACCUCAUACGAUCUACGGAUGAAAGCGGGGGAUCUUCGGACUUCGCGCGGACGGAGCGGCCGAUGGCAGAUUAGGUAGUUGGUGGGAUAAAAGCUUACCAAGCCGACGAUCUGUAGCUGGUCUGAGAGGAUGAUCAGCCACACUGGGACUGAGACACGGCCCAGACUCCUACGGGAGGCAGCAGUGGGGAAUUUUGGACAAUGGGCGAAAGCCUGAUCCAGCCAUGCCGCGUGCAGGAUGAAGGCCUUCGGGUUGUAAACUGCUUUUGUACGGAACGAAAAGCCUCCUUCUAAUAAAGAGAGGUCAUGACGGUACCGUAAGAAUAAGCACCGGCUAACUACGUG